ACAAAGAUCUCAAAUUGAAAAUGAUCUCACUAUCAAAGAACCAAAAAAUACAACUAACUAACAAGAAAAAUACUAAGUCCACAUAUUAAUAGCAGCAGCGUGUCACGAAAUCAGGUCAGCCAAAAAUGCGCUGUCUUCGAACCAAUCUCGAUUUGGUUUAAAACACUGAUUACCUGGCAAAGUAAAGGAGUUCACUGAUUCGCUACCAGAAAUAAAUGAGUUGAGAUCAGUUGGUGCAAACUGGUUGAAUUCUCCAUUAUAUGCCGCAGAAAAUGUAUCCAUCAAUUCACAACCAGGGGUUAAUGAGUUCACCGCCGGUGUAGACGAUUGAAAAUCUUGAUCUGUGUCGGUUAAUCCACUGCACGGAUUGAGCNN
rnacentral:lncRNA from 1 species